GCCACAUACAUGCAGAAUAAAGGAGGGAGUUGGCUGGGAAUGAGAGAUAGGCUACCUUCACAGUAUGCAAAGGGGUGGCUUCCAGGGAGUAUACAAUCCAGUAGGAGGAAUAAGGAGGAAUAAGAGACCAAAAAAAGAAAAAAGAACAUCAACUUUAACCUCUGACUCAAUAAUGAGAUUAUUCUCAAACAAUUGGCUCUCCCAUCACUGACCACUGCCAGCUAAGUGCGGUAGCCACCGCACUGCAAUCUAUUCUGGAUGCUUCCAGUUUGUUCCCAGCUCUGCCACGCCACGUGAUGUUGGGCUGCAGUGUCUUGAGAAAGCUUCUCUGUUCCACCUGCUCUUCAGCUGCCAUUGGACUCCCGCUGUGG